ensembl:snRNA U6 U6 spliceosomal RNA
GUGCUCGCUUUGGCAGCACAUAUAGUAAAAUUGGAGCGAUACAAGGAAGAUAAGCAUCCCCCUGCACAAGGAUGGCAUGCAAAUUCAUGAAGUAUUAUGGAUUCUU